AACGAACGCUGGCGGCAGGCCUAACACAUGCAAGUCGAACGCGCGUAGCAAUACGCGAGUGGCGCACGGGUGAGUAACACGUGGGAACCAACCCAGAGGUUCGGAAUAACCGCGGGAAACUGCGGCUAAUACCGGAUAUCCCCUACGGGGGAAAGAUUUAUCGCCUCUGGACGGGCCCGCGUCCGAUUAGCUAGUUGGUGAGGUAAUGGCUCACCAAGGCGACGAUCGGUAGCUGGUCNGAGAGGACGACCAGCCACACUGGAACUGAGACACGGUCCAGACUCCUACGGGAGGCAGCAGUGGGGAAUAUUGGGCAAUGGAGGCAACUCUGACCCAGCCAUGCCGCGUGGGUGACGAAGGUCUU
rnacentral:rRNA from 1 species